GGGCCUAUAGCUCAGUCGGUUAGAGCAGCGGACUCAUAAUCCGUUGGUCCCCAGUUCAAGUCUGGGUGGGCCCACCA
rnacentral:tRNA from 4 species